AAAUAUGAAGCAAUAAAUGCAAUUAGUUUCGACCUAAUUAAAGGUAUAAUAUACCCUUAUUUA
rnacentral:tRNA from 1 species